rnacentral:rRNA from 1 species
UUCGAUGAUACGCGAGGAACUUGACGUGGGCUAGAACGCAAGACGAUUUCCCGUGAAAGCGGGAUUCCCUUCGGGGCGGCUUGCGAGGUGUUGCAUGGUUGUCGUCAGCUCGUGCCGUGAGUUGUUCGGGUUAAGUCCCAUAACGAGCGCAACCCCUAUCAUUAGUUGCCAUCAGGUCAUGCUGGGGACUCUAGUGAAACUGCCUACGCAAGUAGAGAGGAAGGUGGGGAUGACGUCAAAUCAGCACGGCCCUUACGUCCAGGGCUACACACGUGCUACAAUGGUCGUUACAAUGGUUCGCUACUUGGUGACAGGAUGCCAAUCUCAAAAACCGAUCUCAGUUCGGAUCGAAGUCUGCAAACUCGACUUCUUGAAGUUGGAUUCGCUAGUAAUCGUACAUCAGCAAUGGUACGGUGAAUACGUUCCCGGCCCUUGUACACACCGCCCGUCAAGCCAUGGAAGCUG